rnacentral:rRNA from 1 species
UUUAUGGAGAGUUUGAUCCUGGCUCAGGAUGAACGCUGGCGGCGCGCCUAAUACAUGCAAGUCGAGCGAACGGACGAGAAGCUUGCUUCUCUGAUGUUAGCGGCGGACGGGUGAGUAACACGUGGAUAACCUACCUAUAAGACUGGGAUAACUUCGGGAAACCGGAGCUAAUACCGGAUAAUAUUUUGAACCGCAUGGUUCAAAAGUGAAAGACGGUCUUACUGUCACUUAUAGAUGGAUCCGCGCUGCAUUAGCUAGUUGGUAAGGUAACGGCUUACCAAGGCAACGAUGCAUAGCCGACCUGAGAGGGUGAUCGGCCACACUGGAACUGAGACACGGUCCAGACUCCUACGGGAGGCAGCAGUAGGGAAUCUUCCGCAAUGGGCGAAAGCCUGACGGAGCAACGCCGCGUGAGUGAUGAAGGUCUUCGGAUCGUAAAACUCUGUUAUUAGGGAAGAACAUAUGUGUAAGUAACUGUGCACAUCUUGACGGUACCUAAUCAGAAAGCCACGGCUAACUACGUGCCAGCAGCCGCGGUAAUACGUAGGUGGCAAGCGUUAUCCGGAAUUAUUGGGCGUAAAGCGCGCGUAGGCGGUUUUUUAAGUCUGAUGUGAAAGCCCACGGCUCAACCGUGGAGGGUCAUUGGAAACUGGAAAACUUGAGUGCAGAAGAGGAAAGUGGAAUUCCAUGUGUAGCGGUGAAAUGCGCAGAGAUAUGGAGGAACACCAGUGGCGAAGGCGACUUUCUGGUCUGUAACUGACGCUGAUGUGCGAAAGCGUGGGGAUCAAACAGGAUUAGAUACCCUGGUAGUCCACGCCGUAAACGAUGAGUGCUAAGUGUUAGGGGGUUUCCGCCCCUUAGUGCUGCAGCUAACGCAUUAAGCACUCCGCCUGGGGAGUACGACCGCAAGGUUGAAACUCAAAGGAAUUGACGGGGACCCGCACAAGCGGUGGAGCAUGUGGUUUAAUUCGAAGCAACGCGAAGAACCUUACCAAAUCUUGACAUCCUUUGACAACUCUAGAGAUAGAGCUUUCCCCUUCGGGGGACAAAGUGACAGGUGGUGCAUGGUUGUCGUCAGCUCGUGUCGUGAGAUGUUGGGUUAAGUCCCGCAACGAGCGCAACCCUUAAGCUUAGUUGCCAUCAUUAAGUUGGGCACUCUAAGUUGACUGCCGGUGACAAACCGGAGGAAGGUGGGGAUGACGUCAAAUCAUCAUGCCCCUUAUGAUUUGGGCUACACACGUGCUACAAUGGACAAUACAAAGGGCAGCGAAACCGCGAGGUCAAGCAAAUCCCAUAAAGUUGUUCUCAGUUCGGAUUGUAGUCUGCAACUCGACUACAUGAAGCUGGAAUCGCUAGUAAUCGUAGAUCAGCAUGCUACGGUGAAUACGUUCCCGGGUCUUGUACACACCGCCCGUCACACCACGAGAGUUUGUAACACCCGAAGCCGGUGGAGUAACCUUUUAGGAGCUAGCCGUCGAAGGUGGGACAAAUGAUUGGGGUGAAGUCGUAACAAGGUAGCCGUAUCGGAAGGUGCGGCUGGAUCACCUCCUUUCUA